CAGGAUGAACGCUAGCGACAGGCCUAACACAUGCAAGUCAGGGGCAGCACAAGGAGCAAUCUGAGGUGGCGACCGGCGCACGGGUGAGUAACACGUAUGCAACCUGCCUGUAAGCGGGGAAUAACCCGUUGAAAGACGGACUAAUACCGCAUAAUACUAAAUUACUGCAUGGUAAUUUAUUUAAACAUUUAUGGCUUACAGAUGGGCAUGCGCAUGAUUAGCUAGUUGGAGAGGUAACGGCUCCCCAAGGCAACGAUCAUUAGGGGUUCUGAGAGGAAGGUCCCCCACACUGGUACUGAGACACGGACCAGACUCCUACGGGAGGCAGCAGUGAGGAAUAUUGGUCAAUGGACGAGAGUCUGAACCAGCCAAGUCGCGUGCAGGAAGAAUGUCCCUAUGGAUUGUAAACUGCUUUUGCGGGGGAAUAAAGUGCAUCACGUGUGAUGUUUUGUAUGUACUCUGCGAAUAAGGAUCGGCUAACUCCGUGCCAGCCGCUGC
rnacentral:rRNA from 1 species